rnacentral:rRNA from 1 species
UUCGUAGGUGGCCAACUAAGUCAGACGUGAAAUCCCUCAGCUUAACUGGGGAACUGCGUCUGAUACUGGAUGGCUUGAGUGUAGGAGAGGAAUGCGGAAUUCCAGGUGUAGCGGUGAAAUGCGUAGAUAUCUGGAGGAACACCGGUGGCGAAGGCGGCAUUCUGGACUACAACUGACACUGAGGAACGAAAGCCAGGGGAGCAAACG